CCGCCCGUCACAUCAUGAAAGCCGUUUGUACCCGAAGUCGCUGUGCUAACCGCAAGGAAGCAGGUGCCGAAGGUAUGGAUGGUGAUUGGGAUG
rnacentral:rRNA from 1 species